rnacentral:rRNA from 1 species
GGUUAAGCGACUAAGCGUACACGGUGGAUGCCCUGGCAGUCAGAGGCGAUGAAGGACGUGCUAAUCUGCGAUAAGCGUCGGUAAGGUGAUAUGAACCGUUAUAACCGGCGAUUUCCGAAUGGGGAAACCCAGUGUGUUUCGACACACUAUCAUUAACUGAAUCCAUAGGUUAAUGAGGCGAACCGGGGGAACUGAAACAUCUAAGUACCCCGAGGAAAAGAAAUCAACCGAGAUUCCCCCAGUAGCGGCGAGCGAACGGGGAGCAGCCCAGAGCCUGAAUCAGUGUGUGUGUUAGUGGAAGCGUCUGGAAAGGCGCGCGAUACAGGGUGACAGCCCCGUACACAAAAAUGCACAUGCUGUGAGCUCGAUGAGUAGGGCGGGACACGUGGUAUCCUGUCUGAAUAUGGGGGGACCAUCCUCCAAGGCUAAAUACUCCUGACUGACCGAUAGUGAACCAGUACCGUGAGGGAAAGGCGAAAAGAACCCCGGCGAGGGGAGUGAAAAAGAACCUGAAACCGUGUACGUACAAGCAGUGGGAGCACGCUUAGGCGUGUGACUGCGUACCUUUUGUAUAAUGGGUCAGCGACUUAUAUUCUGUAGCAAGGUUAACCGAAUAGGGGAGCCGAAGGGAAACCGAGUCUUAACUGGGCGUUAAGUUGCAGGGUAUAGACCCGAAACCCGGUGAUCUAGCCAUGGGCAGGUUGAAGGUUGGGUAACACUAACUGGAGGACCGAACCGACUAAUGUUGAAAAAUUAGCGGAUGACUUGUGGCUGGGGGUGAAAGGCCAAUCAAACCGGGAGAUAGCUGGUUCUCCCCGAAAGCUAUUUAGGUAGCGCCUCGUGAAUUCAUCUCCGGGGGUAGAGCACUGUUUCGGCAAGGGGGUCAUCCCGACUUACCAACCCGAUGCAAACUGCGAAUACCGGAGAAUGUUAUCACGGGAGACACACGGCGGGUGCUAACGUCCGUCGUGAAGAGGGAAACAACCCAGACCGCCAGCUAAGGUCCCAAAGUCAUGGUUAAGUGGGAAACGAUGUGGGAAGGCCCAGACAGCCAGGAUGUUGGCUUAGAAGCAGCCAUCAUUUAAAGAAAGCGUAAUAGCUCACUGGUCGAGUCGGCCUGCGCGGAAGAUGUAACGGGGCUAAACCAUGCACCGAAGCUGCGGCAGCGACGCUGAUGCGUUGUUGGGUAGGGGAGCGUUCUGUAAGCCUGUGAAGGUGUACUGUGAGGUAUGCUGGAGGUAUCAGAAGUGCGAAUGCUGACAUAAGUAACGAUAAAGCGGGUGAAAAGCCCGCUCGCCGGAAGACCAAGGGUUCCUGUCCAACGUUAAUCGGGGCAGGGUGAGUCGACCCCUAAGGCGAGGCCGAAAGGCGUAGUCGAUGGGAAACAGGUUAAUAUUCCUGUACUUGGUGUUACUGCGAAGGGGGGACGGAGAAGGCUAUGUUGGCCGGGCGACGGUUGUCCCGGUUUAAGCGUGUAGGCUGGUUUUCCAGGCAAAUCCGGAAAAUCAAGGCUGAGGCGUGAUGACGAGGCACUACGGUGCUGAAGCAACAAAUGCCCUGCUUCCAGGAAAAGCCUCUAAGCAUCAGGUAACAUCAAAUCGUACCCCAAACCGACACAGGUGGUCAGGUAGAGAAUACCAAGGCGCUUGAGAGAACUCGGGUGAAGGAACUAGGCAAAAUGGUGCCGUAACUUCGGGAGAAGGCACGCUGAUAUGUAGGUGAAGUCCCUCGCGGAUGGAGCUGAAAUCAGUCGAAGAUACCAGCUGGCUGCAACUGUUUAUUAAAAACACAGCACUGUGCAAACACGAAAGUGGACGUAUACGGUGUGACGCCUGCCCGGUGCCGGAAGGUUAAUUGAUGGGGUCAGCGCAAGCGAAGCUCUUGAUCGAAGCCCCGGUAAACGGCGGCCGUAACUAUAACGGUCCUAAGGUAGCGAAAUUCCUUGUCGGGUAAGUUCCGACCUGCACGAAUGGCGUAAUGAUGGCCAGGCUGUCUCCACCCGAGACUCAGUGAAAUUGAACUCGCUGUGAAGAUGCAGUGUACCCGCGGCAAGACGGAAAGACCCCGUGAACCUUUACUAUAGCUUGACACUGAACAUUGAGCCUUGAUGUGUAGGAUAGGUGGGAGGCUUUGAAGUGUGGACGCCAGUCUGCAUGGAGCCGACCUUGAAAUACCACCCUUUAAUGUUUGAUGUUCUAACGUGGACCCGUAAUCCGGGUUGCGGACAGUGUCUGGUGGGUAGUUUGACUGGGGCGGUCUCCUCCUAAAGAGUAACGGAGGAGCACGAAGGUUGGCUAAUCCUGGUCGGACAUCAGGAGGUUAGUGCAAUGGCAUAAGCCAGCUUGACUGCGAGCGUGACGGCGCGAGCAGGUGCGAAAGCAGGUCAUAGUGAUCCGGUGGUUCUGAAUGGAAGGGCCAUCGCUCAACGGAUAAAAGGUACUCCGGGGAUAACAGGCUGAUACCGCCCAAGAGUUCAUAUCGACGGCGGUGUUUGGCACCUCGAUGUCGGCUCAUCACAUCCUGGGGCUGAAGUAGGUCCCAAGGGUAUGGCUGUUCGCCAUUUAAAGUGGUACGCGAGCUGGGUUUAGAACGUCGUGAGACAGUUCGGUCCCUAUCUGCCGUGGGCGCUGGAGAACUGAGGGGGGCUGCUCCUAGUACGAGAGGACCGGAGUGGACGCAUCACUGGUGUUCGGGUUGUCAUGCCAAUGGCACUGCCCGGUAGCUAAAUGCGGAAGAGAUAAGUGCUGAAAGCAUCUAAGCACGAAACUUGCCCCGAGAUGAGUUCUCCCUGACUCCUUGAGAGUCCUGAAGGAACGUUGAAGACGACGACGUUGAUAGGCCGGGUGUGUAAGCGCAGCGAUGCGUUGAGCUAACCGGUACUAAUGAACCGUGAGGCUUAACCUU